UGGGGAAUAUUGCACAAUGGGCGCAAGCCUGAUGCAGCAACGCCGCGUGAGGGACGACGGCCUUCGGGUUGUAAACCUCUUUUAGUAGGGAAGAAGCGAAAGUGACGGUACCUGCAGAAAAAGCACCGGCUAACUACGUGCCAGCAGCCGCGGUAAUACGUAGGGUGCGAGCGUUGUCCGGAAUUAUUGGGCGUAAAGAGCUCGUAGGCGGUCUGUCGCGUCUGCUGUGAAAACUCGAGGCUCAACCUCGGGCUUGCAGUGGGUACGGGCUGACUAGAGUGCGGUAGGGGUGACUGGAAUUCCUGGUGUAGCGGUGGAAUGCGCAGAUAUCAGGAGGAACACCGAUGGCGAAGGCAGGUCACUGGGCCGCAACUGACGCUGAGGAGCGAAAGCAUGGGGAGCGAACAGGAUUAGAUAGCCCUGGUAGUCCAUGCCGUAAACGUUGGGCACUAGGUGUGGGUCCAUUCCACGGAUUCCGUGCCGCAGC
rnacentral:rRNA from 1 species